AAAGUCAGGCUAUUUGGGUAAUAGAGAGCAUGAUCUGACCAUACUAGUGUCUGUCGUGUUUUCGGCCAUUCUUCCUGCUACAGAUGCUGUACAUUUUCUUUAAAAUGUGAAUAUUUUUUUUAUUUUACUAGUUGCUUUAGGCAAUUAUACUACAUUCUGUGCGUUUUCCCUUGUUAGGUUUAUGGAGGUAGUUAAAAGGGAAAAUGUUGCUCUGUUUUUUUCUAUGUUGUGGUUUUAUUUAGGCUUCUUUGGACUAGUUAAAAUUGAUAUAUAAAAUUUUUAUAAUUAAUGUGUAGCUGGAAAUAUUUGGUGUUCUCACAUUCAUAAGAAAGUUUAACUUCUGUAACUUGUUUCUUUCUUGUCUUUUCCUAAAAAAUACAGCCUGGUUUUCCACUUGUGUCAGUGUAAUUUCUGGUAGGUAUUUACUGAUGUGAUAUUAUACAAAAACUUGUUUUUUCCUAUGACCUGGAGGGGUGAGAGGCAGUAGUAUACAGAGAAGCCUCUUUCUUUUUGACAUUUAUAUCUAAUUCUAUUCUAUCCAAAUAGACUUCUUGGGAGACUGUAGGGGGAAAGAAGAAAAGCCUUGGAAAAGAAAGUUCAGAAAACAAAGAGAACAGAGAAAAACGAGGGGACAGAGAAGUGAGUCAUGGACGGGGAAGUUCCAGCAGACGGGGAAGAGGAGGCAGCCGUUGCCGAGAGUUUAGAGAUGAAGAGAAUGGAUUGGACAACAGUCAAGGAGACAGGCCUUCAGAUUGUGGAAAACGUGGCCGUGGGAGAGAAACUGAUUAAGGAGGUAUUGGGGAGACAUUGGGGAGGCA